rnacentral:rRNA from 1 species
UACGUAGGGACCUAGCGUUGUCCGGAAUUAUUGGGCGUAAAGCGCGUGUAGGCGGCUCGCCAAGUCCGAUGUGAAAGCUCGGGGCUUAACCCCGAGUCUGCAUUGGAAACUGGCUUGCUUGAGUCCGGAAGAGGAGACUGGAAUUCCUGGUGUAGCGGUGAAAUGCGCAGAUAUCAGGAAGAACACCGGUGGCGAAGGCGGGUCUCUGGGACGGUACUGACGCUGAGGUGCGAAAGCGUGGGGAGCAAACAGG